AUGUGUGAGUACACGGGCCGAAAGGAUGACCCCCAGAGACACAGCCGCAACGAUCUUCCUGAAGAUGUUGCAGAGGAGAUGACCAAGGCUCUCUUGAACGGGAGCCUGGCAGACUGCGAAAGGACCAGGUUAGCCCCCUUCUGCAAGACCAACCCAGCCCCAGCGGCUGAUGAUAAGUUCUGGCGGGUCAAAUAUGACCAUGAGGCGGCCAAGAAGGCCAGAAAGGCGAAGAAAGCCGCCAAGAAAGCCGCCCCUCGCAAGAAAGGAAACAGGCCUACUGCUUCAGAGCUGAUGCAACUAAGUGACAGCUCCGAGUCAGAGGACGACACCGGAGCAAGUAACCCGGUGGUUGAAGAGGUAACGACAUUUUCCUCCGACUCGGAGCCCUUGCCCAGGCUGAAAAUCCGAAGGGUAACCCGGAAAGUAAGCUUUUCACAUCCUUUAGCUUAUCAAGACCCUCAAUUUAUUUUGAAGCGACAGGUGCAUGAGAGCCGGCGGCACACCCGGACCGACAAAAGCACCGACCUCUCCUCCAGGUUACCUGACGCAUCGAGGAAACGCCGGACCGAGGAAACUUCCCCCUCUUCCGGCGACUCUAUGCAGUCAAGCCUGCCGGCUUUCAAGACCGUGCCCGGUGCCCAGGCCAAGAUCACCAAGAGGGCGAAGAAGUCCAAGCCGGUCGAUGAGCCGGACUUGCCUGAGCCAGAGGCAGCAGCUCAAGAGCCGCCAGCCGCCUCUGCGCCUGAGGCCGCUGCCCCAACCACCAAGACAACUACAGAAGCUUCUGUUAACCCGGAGGCCUCCAGCUCGGCUCCACCAGCAGACGACCCGGACGUGGUAAUCACCCGGACGGAGUUCGUUGAGCUGGGGAGACCUACCGUGCUGGCCAAGUGCUCCGCCAAAGGGGAGCUGUUAGAGUCGCGCCGGGUUAACCUGGACCUCACCGACUACUCCAACUUGAACAUUGGAGAGAUCGUCUCCGGCUUCGUCAGCCAAGUGCACAAGAGCCGGGACGCAGAGAUUGCUAUGGUGACCCAGAUCCAGCAGAAAUCUGAGGCUGCUGGCAAGAAGCUUGAGGCUGACCUUGCUGAUCUCAAGAACCGGCUGAAGAUGCAAGAGAUGGAGACCCGGAAGGCAAACGCCAAGUUUGUAUCCAGCAUCGCCGCGCAAGAGAAGCUGAAGACAGAGUUUGACGCUGAGCGGAAGGCGUGGGCCGAAGAAAAGGCCGCAUUGGUGAACCGGGCUGAACAGGCGGAGAAGGCUCUCUCCGAGAAGACUGCUGAGCUAUCCGGCCUAAAGCGCCAAGUGUCCCAGAUGGUGGCCGCAAUCUUCGGUCCUAGAAGUGCCAACCUGAAUCAGAGUGUGGUGACCAAGCUGAAGGCCGUAUAUACCCUGGUGGAGCAACUCUACACCGGGUCACAACGUGCCUUGGCUGUGGUGGCCCUCUCCAACGAGGUGCCGACUCACCUGGCGGAAGUCCUUCGCCGGCUCGCCGUUCUGCCUCAACGGAUCCAAGAGCUGCGACGGGCCUCUGCAAGAGCCGGAGCGAUCGCUGCGGUGAGCCGGGCCAAGGCGUUCUUGCCAGAGUUAGACCCGGCGGACAUCGCCCUCGGCUAUCCAAGUCUGAAGGAAGACGGCACCGCCUUUGAUCAGAAGUACUUCGCAGCUUGCGUGAAGGCCGUACGCCCGGUGGCCACUCUUAUUGGCAACGAUACAGAUUUGUCCAAGUAUCAGCCAGGCUACGACGCAGAAAAUCAGAGGAUCCCUACUCCGCGCUAUGAAGCCCUCAACUUGAUCCCGCCGGCUCGUCAGCACACUUUCGCCCCGGAGAUUGACCCGGCCGGGUUAAUUGACGAGGAAGCCCAAUUCGAAGCUCUCAGCGGCAUCGACUGGAAGUCAGCAACUUUCCAGGUCUUGGGAUCAACCGGAGGAGAAGAGAGGAACGAUCUGGAGACCUCAACUCAGCAAGCGUUGUAA
rnacentral:rRNA from 1 species